UUCGACCGCCUGGGGUUCUUUAACGUGCACCCAAAUCUGAGCACACGGGCCUACAACAUGGGGCACCGCCCCCACCAUGCGGGAAAGCGCGCCUCCUGCUCGUGGGCCGGAAAUCCUGGGGACGGACUCGGAUCGAGCCAUGAGUGGGAGACUGCGUGAGUCCUGGUGAGCAACAUUUUGGAGAGUUCGAGCCGAAGGGAGUCUGGUUGAAGAAAAUUUGUGUGAGCGAGAGUCCGAGUGAGCCCUAAGCGCAAAAUGUACUUCGUGAGUGAAAGUGAGUGAGCUCCACAAGUGUUGCCAUUGCCAACCUAUGGUAUCCACCACGGAGGAAGGAAAAAGGCUGCCCUAAUAAGGAUCACUGCAUCAAUGCCCUUGUGCUUCCGGGACAGCGGGUGCGACCUGGUCUUCCAACGGGACAUUGGCGACAACCCACCGGCUCGGUCAACGCAAGCAAUGCCGCACCUUACUUGCUGCCUUCAACCCCUGAUCGUUUCUCAACUGGAAUCCAAGUGCAACGUUCUGUGCAGCUGCAUCGGAGGGACUAUAAAUACUGCCUACGCCCUACAAGAACUUGAAGCACGCCACCGCACUUAUGCUGGUCACGAAAAUGCCCUUCUUCCUCGUGCAGAGCGUCAGCCUCUGACUCCAGAGCGCUCCUGACCGCUCCAACUUCGAAGUGAGAGCUUGGCGUGAUCUGACGGGGAGAAUGGAUCACGUGACACAAUCCAGCCAAUCACGUGGCUACCGGCAGGUGAACGAGGCUCCCUCCCAAGUAGUGACCAAGCCCAGUGCUGCUUAGCUUCGGUGAUCGGACGAGAACUGGCGCAUUCAACACUGUAUGGCAGAUGGCAUUUUUUUUUUCAAGGCUACUUUCUUGCUUUUCUACUAACCUUACAACAUUACAUUCUGGCUGCAUACGGAUAAAGAAAGACUGCCUUAAAAAUCAAAGGUAUGUAAUUAAAUUGUGUUAGUUAAACAAUAAUGUCGAAGCUAAAUAUUGUUAUUUAUUGAAUAAAUAAUUAUAUUUAAUUGAUUUUUU